rnacentral:lncRNA from 10 species
GUCUCUAGGCCUGGCGGAGUUCCCGGCCGGCGGAGGGGUAGCGUAGGGAAGACACCUGGAGGGGAGGCUGUUCUAGGGGCAGGGUUCUUCCCCAUGGGAGCAGGGAAGGGGCCGAGUUCAGGAGACCGCGGUCGCCAAGGGGCCUGAACUCCGCGUCCGUCGCAGCUCCUCUGGUCAGAAGAGGCCUGGGCAGGGCUGGCAGAACUGACCCCCUAGUCUAAUGUCCCUGUGGCCCGAGGACCGAGGGGGAACUGAGGGACAUAGCCGGUCCCCACCUCGCUGGAGGACAGCGUCCCGGGACUCCCCUGCAGUUCACGGGAAGCUGUCCGCCUCCUGUCUGUGCUGGGGACCCACGCUGUGAGCCCUAAGCCCAGGCUUCACGGGUCCCCAAGGAACGCUGACCCACCCACGCCCCUCAACCAUCUCCCACCAGCUCUGCAGCAGGCGACCCCGGAUCAGGGACUUGCCGCCCCCUGGCGGGCAAGGUGGGGAGGACGCGCGCCGGAUUCGUGGCUCUCAGGCCAGUGGAGUGGGGGCUCUGCCCAGAUGGGCAUAGUUUCUGCAGAGUUCCCUUCUGAAAUGAGUAGGACCUGCUGCACUGGGGACCUUGAACUACUCUGUUUGCCCAGCAUUCAAAUGGGGAUGUUCACAACAGCUCCACCAUAUUGCACAUGCAUUUUAUUGAAUGGCUAGCUGUAUAGCUUCUGUCUACAAACUUGCAUGCAUUUAUUUUUGAGACAGGGUCUCUGUGGCCCAGGCUGGACUGCAGUGGUGUGAUCUCAGCUCACUACAACCUCUGCCUACCGGGUUCAAACGAUUCUUGUGCCUCAGCCUCUUGAGUAGCUGGAAUUACAGGCGCACGCCACCGCACCCGGCCAGUUUAUUUCAUUUUUUUGAGACAGGGCCUUACUCUGUCACCCAGGCUGGAGUGCAGUGGCGUUAACACGGCUCACUGCAGCCCUGAACUCCUGGGCUCAAGCAAUUCUCCCGCCCCAGCCACCUGAACAGCUUGGACUACGGGCAUGCACUAGCAUAUAAAGUUGUAUUUUAGAAGUUAAUCCUUGGUAUUGAAAUUUUCGAUAUGUUGGCCGGGCGCGGUGGCUCACGCCUGUAAUCCCAGCACUUUGGGAGGCUGAGACGAGCGGAUCACGAGGUCAGGAGAUCGAGACCAUCCUGGCUAACACGGUGAAACCCCGCC